rnacentral:lncRNA from 1 species
GGAUGAAUGAAGGAGUGACAAAACAAAUGGGCGUAAGCAUCACAAUGACUACUUUUUGGCUGAAGUUGACAAGAAUUUCAGGACCAUCCACAAGAUUUUCUGCCUGUUAGGUCAGAGGGCAAUGGAAAACACUUGGCUUUGCUUGUCUUGUGGAGAAAGGAACAUAAUAAGGAGAAGGAGCACAAUCAGAUACAAAGCAAUCACUGUGUUUGGAUGCACUUCUAACCCACAUGGCUAUGAAGAUGUCAGAGAAUCCAUGAGUGUUUGUUCAGAAACCUGUUCACAUACAAAUCGGGAGAGCAGGAGCUGCUGGCAAGGCACAGUCACUCUGCACAUCUGACUCAGGGCAGGACACAGCUGGGGCUGCUUGGGUCUACACCAGGUUUUAGACCACAGCACAGGAAACUCAGAGUCCAGAAAACUCCCACCUUCACCCGCUGUGGCUGGGCAUCCGUUGGAAUGAUUGUCCCGAAGCUUUGUGUCUGGGAGAGCACCUCCUACGAAGCAGCCAAGUGCAGGGGGAUUCAAAGGAGCUCACUCUGGCACUCUGACUGCUGUAUGGAGAAUGCUCUGGAGGUCAGUUCCUAGGAUGCAGGAAAAGCACUAGGGAUGCUAUUGCAGGAGAUGAGGGUUUAAUCAGGAAUCAGAACCUCUCUGAGUAGCAUGGAAUCAAGAAUUUAUGAUAGGAAUAAGUCUUUAUGUAAUUACGGAAGAACCUGGGGAAGGAAGGAUCUGGCAGGAGGAAAAAAAGAGCAGAAAAAAGCCACUAACCAGAAGCCACUAACCACUAACUUGCCAGAAGCACCAGCUUGGGUAGAGAAGUUGCAGCUUGCAAGGAAAUCUGGAAAGCCAGAACAUCAAGCUGCCAGAGUGCAGCUGUGAAGGGGAGCUGACGGAAAAGUGUAUGGAAACUUAAAUCCUCUGCUUAACCACCUUUUCUAUAAUUCUACCACCAAGCUUCUGGUGAUGGGCCUGGAGAGGCUACUGGUCAGCAGGGCCAGCAGUCAGGAAAACUGGAUGGAUGGGGGUGGGCAGAAGGUGAGAUCAAGCUGGAACCCUCUAGCGCCUCUGCAUCUGUCUUCCCUUCCAUGUAAGCACAGUGACCUUCAGAGAGUAACGGCUCAGAUCUGCCUUGCAAAUAUCAAGCGAAUUCCUUUUGUACCCUACUCUAACCUGGAAACAGAGAGAAGGUGAUGCUGCGGAACCGUUCUCCAGUAACCAAGUAAACACAGCCACAAC